CCGUAAGUUUUAAAGGGCGCACGGUGGAUGCCUUGGCACAAGGAGCCGACGAAGGACGUGGGAGUCUGCGUUAAGCCUCGGGGAGUUGACAACCGAACUGUGAUCCGAGGAUGUCCGAAUGGGGAAACCCACCACGAGUCAUGUCGUGGUACCCGCUGCUGAAUGUAUAGGCAGUGUGGAGGGAACGCGGGGAAGUGAAACAUCUCAGUACCCGCAGGAAGAGAAAACAAAUAGUGUAUUCCGUGAGUAGUGGCGAGCGA
rnacentral:rRNA from 1 species